UGACGAUUUUCCACAGAGGUCGACCCAUGAGUCGACCCCCAGGCAUGAGUCGACUCAUGAGUCGACCCCUGUGACGGGAUUUUUCUGCAACGGCUAGUUUUUAACCCAUUUUAAAUGCUUUUAAUGCUCAUUUAAUGCAGUCUAACGGCUCUUUUUCCAGUCUAGAAUGAUUUCCUCUAUUUCUUAAAGCUAUAAAAGGAACAAAAAGGUGGG
rnacentral:lncRNA from 1 species